GAUGAACGCUGGCGGCGUGCCUAAUACAUGCAAGUCGAGCGAACAGACGAGGAGCUUGCUCCUCUGACGUUAGCGGCGGACGGGUGAGUAACACGUGGAUAACCUACCUAUAAGACUGGGAUAACUUCUGGAAACCGGAGCUAAUACCGGAUAAUAUAUUGAACCGCAUGGUUCAAUAGUGAAAGACGGUUUUGCUGUCACUUAUAGAUGGAUCCGCGCCGCAUUAGCUAGUUGGUAAGGUAACGGCUUACCAAGGCAACGAUGCGUAGCCGACCUGAGAGGGUGAUCGCCCACACUGGAACUGAGACACGGUCCAGACUCCUACGGGAGGCAGCAGUAGGGAAUCUUCCGCAAUGGGCGAAAGCUUGACGGAGCAACGCCGCGUGAGUGAUGAAGGUCUUCGGAUCGUAAAACUCUGUUAUUAGGGAAGAACAAAUGUGUAAGUAACUAUGCACGUCUUGACGGUACCUAAUCAGAAAGCAACGGCUAACUACGUG
rnacentral:rRNA from 1 species